UGCAGAUGUUUCUGAAAAUGUUUCAGGAUAUUUAAGGCCAAGAUUUCGCAAGGACACUUACCUUGAUCAACAGCUGUAACUACAUGGCCCUUUGAUAUUUUGGCCAUCCUUUCCUUUCGCGGCAUCAUACACAUUGGCAGAGAUUGUUGAUGUGGUUUUUCUGCUUUUGUUGCAUUUAUUUUCAUUCUUUUUUGCUGCACUUAUGUUAG
rnacentral:misc_RNA from 1 species